CAGCAGUUAAGAGCCCUGGGUCUGGAGCAAAACUGCUGAGGUUUGAGGCCCCGUUUUGCUGCUCACUAGCUACAUGAUCUUGGGCAAGUUAUUUAAGCUCUCUGAGCUUCAGUUUCUUCCUCUGCAGAAUGGGGAUGAAAGUGGACUACUACCUCAUGGCAUGUUUUGAGGAUGAAAUGAGCUAAUAAACACAGUCUUCAGCCCUACAUUAGGAUGGCCUAAGGAAAACAAGAAGACUGAAUGAUAUUCCCUGCUGACUUAUAUAAGUUAUUAGUCUUCUAGAAGGAUCACAAGGAACCAGCAUCAAAGAAAUGGAAUCCAGCUAAUUCCCCCAAGAAACUGAAGUUUUCGGGACAUGACUUGUGAAAGGCAAACAUAAGCUGACAUCUUUUCACACUGAACAGCAAGAGCCAAAGUGUAUCCGAAAAGCCAUUGUCAAAACAAGGAGUGAGAACAGCUGGGGUCAAGACCUAAUGAAGGGCAUCACUCAGCCUCUUUGAGCCUCGGAUUCCUCAUUUGUAAAGUGGGCAUAAUAAUACCUCACAGGGUAGUUAUGAGGGCAAAUGAGAUAAUGGACACGAAGGCACCUGUACACUCCACGGUGCUAUCAGAAUAUUGACUAUUAGUGCUUUCAUCACGCGGCUCCAUCCAAACCCCUGCUUUCCCUCACUCCAGCAACCUGGCGGUUCCCCGCUCCAGGGAGGUCACCCUCUUGAUGCUGAAUUUAGCACGGACACCUGAUGGGCACAGUGCACUGCAGCCCAGAGCUCCUGAGCUCAAGCCAUCCUCCUGCCUCAGCCUCCAAGUAGCCAGGACCACAGGCACGCACCCUGAGGAGGAAGAAAUACCAGGUGCGCAUGCUCCAAGAAAAAGCCAUCUGAGGACGCGGCAAGAAGGCCGCCAUCUACAAGCCAAGGAGAGGGGCCUCAGGAGAAAUCGAACCUGUCACACCUUGAUCUUGGACUUCCAGCCUUCAGAACUUGAGCUGAACACACAUCAUUUUUAUAACUGGGAAAAAUGUGCCACUAUUAUUUUGAAAAUUAAAUUCCUUGGAAAUAAAAAGCUAAACAU
rnacentral:lncRNA from 10 species